rnacentral:rRNA from 1 species
UACGGAGGAUGCGAGCGUUAUCCGGAUUUAUUGGGUUUAAAGGGUGCGUAGGCGGGAUGCCAAGUCAGCGGUAAAAAUGCGGUGCUCAACGCCGUCGAGCCGUUGAGACUGGCGUUCUUGAGUGGGCGAGAAGUACGCGGAAUGCGUGGUGUAGCGGUGAAAUGCAUAGAUAUCACGCAGAACUCCGAUUGCGAAGGCAGCAUACCGGCGCCCUACUGACGCUGAGGCACGAAAGCGUGGGUAUCGAACAGG